rnacentral:lncRNA from 1 species
GUCGUGAUGCAUGCAUACAAGACUGAACAAACACUCACCCAAAAUGAAAUUUACAAAGGAGGUCUCGUUUUUAAUCUAAACCAUUUUGGAUUUAUUUUGCUUGUGCAAUAUCUUAAUUGUUUCAAAGAUAUGACCAUCAGUAUUCUCAUAAGAAAACCUACAAUAAUGCCACAACUGAUUAAACUUAAUGAGAUGUUGUAAAUCUCUAAUGUAAAAAAAUAAUAUGCGAAUGCCCUAAAGAACAAAGUUUAAAAAAAGUCAACAAUCAUAAAUUUGCACAAUUUCUUUGAGUAGGUAUUUAGGUAUUCACUUUGUAUAAA